CGAUACAUAGGGGGACUGAGAGGUUAACCCCCCACAUUGGUACUGAGACACGGACCAAACUCCUACGGGAGGCAGCAGUGAGGAAUAUUGGUCAAUGGACGCAAGUCUGAACCAGCCAUGCCGCGUGCAGGAUGACGGCUCUAUGAGUUGUAAACUGCUUUUGUACGAGGGUAAACGCAGAUACGUGUAUCUGUCUGAAAGUAUCGUACGAAUAAGGAUCGGCUAACUCCGUGCCAGCAGCCGCGGUAAUACGGAGGAUUCAAGCGUUAUCCGGAUUUAUUGGGUUUAAAGGGUGCGUAGGCGGUUUGAUAAGUUAGAGGUGAAAUUUCGGGGCUCAACCCUGAACGUGCCUCUAAUACUGUUGAGCUAGAGAGUAGUUGCGGUAGGCGGAAUGUAUGGUGUAGCGGUGAAAUGCUUAGAGAUCAUACAGAACACCGAUUGCGAAGGCAGCUUACCAAACUAUAUCUGACGUUGAGGCACGAAAGCGUGGGGAGCAAACAGGAUUAGAUACCCUGGUAGUCCACGCAGUAAACGAUGAUAACUCGUUGUCGGCGAUACACAGUCGGUGACUAAGCGAAAGCGAUAAGUUAUCCACCUGGGGAGUACGUUCGCAAGAAUGAAACUCAAAGGAAUUGACGGGGGCCCGCACAAGCGGAGGAACAUGUGGUUUAAUUCGAUGAUACGCGAGGAACCUUACCCGGGCUUGAAAGUUAGCGACGAUUCUUGAAAGAGGAUUUCCCUUCGGGGCGCGAAACUAGGUGCUGCAUGGUUGUCGUCAGCUCGUGCCGUGAGGUGUCGGGUUAAGUCCCAUAACGAGCGCAACCCCUACCGUUAGUUGCCAUCAGGUGAAGCUGGGCACUCUGGCGGGACUGCCGGUGUAAGCCGAGAGGAAGGUGGGGAUGACGUCAAAUCAGCACGGCCCUUACGUCCGGGGCUACACACGUGUUACAAUGGCAGGUACAGAGAGAUGGUCCCUUGCAAAAUGGAUCAAAUCCUUAAAGCCUGUCUCAGUUCGGACUGGGGUCUGCAACCCGACCCCACGAAGCUGGAUUCGCUAGUAAUCGCGCAUCAGCCAUGGCGCGGUGAAUACGUUCCCGGGCCUUGUACACACCGCCCGUCAAGCCAUGGGAGCCGGGGGUACCUGAAGUGCGUAACCGCAAGGAGCGCCCUAGGGUAAAACUGGUGACUGGGGCUAAGUCGUAACAAGGUAGCCGUACCGGAAGGUGCGGCUG
rnacentral:rRNA from 1 species